rnacentral:rRNA from 1 species
GACGAACGCUGGCGGCGUGCCUAAUACAUGCAAGUCGAGCGGACCAAACAGGAGCUUGCUCUUGUUUGGUUAGCGGCGGACGGGUGAGUAACACGUGGGUAACCUGCCCGUAAGACCGGGAUAACUCCGGGAAACCGGAGCUAAUACCGGAUAACACCGAAGACCGCAUGGUCUUUGGUUGAAAGGCGGCUUCGGCUGCCACUUACGGAUGGGCCCGCGGCGCAUUAGCUAGUUGGUGAGGUAACGGCUCACCAAGGCGACGAUGCGUAGCCGGCCUGAGAGGGUGACCGGCCACACUGGGACUGAGACACGGCCCAGACUCCUACGGGAGGCAGCAGUAGGGAAUCUUCCGCAAUGGACGAAAGUCUGACGGAGCGACGCCGCGGGAGCGAAGAAGGUCUUCGGAUCGUAAAGCUCUGUUGUUAGGGAAGAAGAAGCGCCGUUCGAACAGGGCGGCGCGGUGACGGUACCUAACGAGAAAGCCCCGGCUAACUACGUG